CUACGGGAGGCAGCAGUGGGGAAUAUUGCACAAUGGGCGCAAGCCUGAUGCAGCCAUGCCGCGUGUAUGAAGAAGGCCUUCGGGUUGUAAAGUACUUUCAGCAGUGAGGAAGGUGGGUAUGUUAAUAGCAUAUUCAUUUGACGUUAGCUGCAGAAGAAGCACCGGCUAACUCCGUGCCAGCAGCCGCGGUAAUACGGAGGGUGCGAGCGUUAAUCGGAAUUACUGGGCGUAAAGCGCAUGCAGGUGGUUUGUUAAGUCAGAUGUGAAAGCCCGGGGCUCAACCUCGGAAUUGCAUUUGAAACUGGCAAACUAGAGUACUGUAGAGGGGGUAGAAUUUCAGGUGUAGCGGUGAAAUGCGUAGAGAUCUGAAGGAAUACCGGUGGCGAAGGCGGCCCCCUGGACAGAUACUGACACUCAGAUGCGAAAGCGUGGGGAGCAAACAGGAUUAGAUACCCUGGUAG
rnacentral:rRNA from 1 species